UAAAAGAACUUAAAUUUCAAGCUUCCUAUUAAUGGAACAAAAAUUGAAGUUAUACGGCGCUAUGAUCGUGUUAUUGGUGCUCUUGUCUUUUACUGAGUUGAGUCCAAAAAUGGUCGGAGGAAUCGAGCCUAGCAUUGCCAUGAAAUGCAUUGGCAAGUUUACGACCCCUACUCAAUGUGACACCACUUGCAAGAAACAAGGCUUUGUUAAAGGUGGUAAGAGCAAACUCGAACCAGGGAAAUGCUGUUGCACCAAGCCGGCGACUGCCAAAUAUAAUUAAAAAUAAAAGAAAAUAAUAUUAUGCAUUUUAAAAAUAUCAUGAUUUAAAGAUUGUCAGCAACGUAUUAUAUGAUUUUUAUGAGAGUCGAAUGUUUUUUUUUUUUUUAAAUAAAGAUAAAGAAGCUAAUUCAUUAAUCAUAGGCUGAAAUAUUUACAAUAAAGAUCGAUGCAAUGGUUAAACAUUCCUUAUAGUCAGACAUAGAAACAACUUUCGUAGCAAUGCUAAAGAAAAUUUGAUUCGCAGACUGUUUCACAAAUUUGAAGCUGGAUUCUUUAGAACUUAAAGCUUCUUUAAUGAUUUGAUCAAAUGUACCCAAAACUGACAA